UGUCCGGAAAACUCAUCUCACUGUCGUAGGACAUAUGUCCGGACGAAUGUCCAGUCUCGGACACCAGUGAUGUCUGGCUCAGAGGACGACUCAUGUCCGAUAGCGAAGACUUGCUUGGACUUGUAGCUCCUGCCGAGGAAAACCACGUGACAGCUGACAAAGGCUCUGACGAAUUCAUGAACUGGGGCGUACGCGGGCGUUAGCAAGUUGCAGUCAAAGCAUUCAGAAGCUGAACGAGGGCGUGGUCCCUCAGGGGCGUACGCACGAUUUUAGCAAGUUGCAGUCAAAGCAUUCAGAAGCUGAAUGAGGGCGUGGUCCCUCAGGGGCGUACGCGGGCGUUAGCAAUUUGCAGUCAAAGCAUUCAGAAGCUGAAUGAGGGCGUAGCCGCUCAUCCCGCACCCCCGUGAAGAUUUCAUAGCUCCCGCUUUUGGGUUUGAAAUUGGCGUCAAUGCAUCAGACUUUUGAGAAUAUUACACGAUCCUCUGUCAUCCUCGACCUGAAAUAGGACUUCAGUCGUCGCGUGGCACUGAACGACAUAUUAACAUGUUUGGAAAUCAUUCUGUGGACUACCAUGAUUAAGAAAUUAUAGUUUUUAUCCUCAUCAUAUAUAUAAAACUACGUACAUAAAAAUGAAUAAGUAAACAUUUGAUUAUUUGCCCUCGUUAUGCAAAUAAGAUCGCCAAAUUUUUGCAGUCCAGUGACUGCAGGCCUAUAGGCUGCGUACGCCCCUGAUGAAAGCUUUUGAAUGGCCCUUACCCUCCGUCUCCUCCUCCACGUGUUCUAGCGUCUUAUGUUCCUUGCCCACCAGUCUUCCAAUCAUCUUGCGGAUCCCUCCGGUCACUCCCAGCAUGUAGCUGUGCUGCUUCUUGGGACUCACUGGCUCUCCUUGCUGGCUCUUCUUACUGCUUUCACUGUCAUCGUGUUGGAAGGCCUUGGUUGGCGACAACAUGGAAAUAUCUGCAAGAUCAGAGUUACUUAACGCUACAUUUCUCUGGACCUGACAUGUGUGACCUUUUUAUAUUUUUCCAGUAUUGAAAUGUUUAAUCAUUUUAGUAAAAAAAUAUUAUUAUUAUUAUUAUUAUUAUUAUUAUUAUUAUUAUUAUUAUUAUUAUUAUUAUUAUUAUUAUUAUUAUUACUAUUAUUAUUAUUAUUAUUAUUAUUAUUAUUAUUAUUAUUAUUAUUAUUAUUAUUAUUAUUAUUAUUAGCAAUAUUAUUAUUAUUAUUAUUAUUAUUAUUAUUAGUAAUGGAUUAUAUUAUACUCGGGCAAUAAAAGUGAGCUGUUUUUAUUAUUAUUAUUAUUAUUAUUAUUAUUAUUAUUAUUAUUAUUAUUAUUAUUAUUAUUAUUAUUAUUAGGAGGUGAGUUGGAUUUCUCACUGAAGCUUGUGGAUCCAGAGUCAUUAAGGACACCUGAUUAUUGGCGUGGUUGUACCUUUGUCUUCGUCGGUGAAGCCAAGGCAUGUAUCGAUGAGCUGUAGCAUAUAGCCUGUACUCAGUAACACACCCUCCUGCGUGCUAUGGGACGUCAUGUAAUCCUUCACCUGUUAACAUCACAGUAUUUGAUGAGAGUCGCAGGGCGAAUAUGUUUUUUUAGCCUGAUAUGAGAAUAGUAGCAGCUGUUAGAACAGCGACGUAAAAAAAAUGGAACUUAUUCAAGACUUUAGUAACUGCAAGUGAAUAUUCUGCCUAAAGCACCGUUUUUCUUCACCAAUUCAUAACAAGAAAAUACCUAGUUUCCCGUUUCAUUGAGAGCGUGGACUACUGCUCGACUACUGCAUAUGUAUAAGCUCAGAAAAUCUCUAAGCAGCUGCUUUCGAUUUAAAACUUAUUACUCUUACAGGCUUUAUUAAAACUAGAUUAAGUGGC